rnacentral:rRNA from 1 species
AUUGAACGCUGGCGGCAGGCCUAACACAUGCAAGUCGAACGAGUGGCGGACGGGUGAGUAAUGUCUGGGCAACUGCCCGAUGGAGGGGGAUAACUACUGGAAACCGUAGCUAAUACCGCAUACCAUCCGAUGUGGCCAGAUGGGAUGAGCUAGUAGGUGGGGUAACGGCUCACCGAGGCGACGAUCCCUAGCUGGCCUGAGAGGAUGACCGGCCAAACGGGAACUGAGACACGGUCAAGACUCCUACGGGAGGCAGCAGGGGGGAAUAUUGGAAAAUGGGCGCAAGCCUGAUGAAGCCAUGCCGCGUGUGUGAAGAAGGCCUUCGGGUUGUAAAGUACGUUCAGCGGGGAGGCGUUACUCGAAGAAGAAGCAACGGCUAACUCCGUGCCAGCAGCCGCGGUAAUUC